CCCGCAGUCUACAGCGGUAAGGUUCAUU
rnacentral:rRNA from 1 species